GAUCGCUUCAGUGGAGAAAGCAGCUCUCCAAAUGAAGAUAGCAAGUGGUGAAGCAGAGUGAUUCUGACAUCCGCUAACUAGCCCCUCUAUUAGGUAAAUAAAUGCUGUUAAAUCCAGUCGCUGUUGGAGUCAGGGAAAGGAGAGUGAGGAGUAAUGAGAAUGACGUGGAGGAGCGAGCACAGGCGGUGAUUUCAAAGAACCUGGACAACUCACAGUCAAGAAUUUCCAUCCUGUAACAGUUGAAGAGUGAGCCUGAGUGACAGAUCUUCCAUUUAGCAAGUGAAUCUCAGCUGCUAUGUAAAUCCUCAAACCCGGAACUUGGAAUGUGAAUAUAGCCAUGAGAGUAUCUCAGCAAGGAGCCAUUAUGAGGUACUGAUAAACUGACCACCCUAUAAAAACCGGGCGGGCUGGGAAAUUAUAAAUGGUUCCUCAGCAUCCAGGAAAGCAGGAAACACUCACAAACCUGAGAUUUUCCAGGGAGACUCUUUGGCAGCCUUGGGGAAGUCACAACCAGUAGGCUAUAAAGGCAGGGGGUGCAUGAUGUUUGAGGGCAAAUGAUUGGCUGGGCCUGGUCAGGGUGGGGAAGGGGACUUCCUGGGAAGUGAUGCUUUUGCUCUAUUUCCCAGGCCCAUGAAGACAAAGCUGUCAAAAAAAAAAAAAAAAAAGGCUUCUCAUGCACACCCAUGUAAUACUGUGAACGGAUCUGAGAGUUUGGUGUCAAGACUCCACAAAACAUACACUUAAAUGAGUG
rnacentral:lncRNA from 1 species